AUGGCCUUAGAUUCAGAAGAAGAAUGUGUUCUUCAUGUGAUCUUUUUUCCAUGUCCAAAUCUUGUUUCAAUGCAGCAUUUUCAAUAUCAUUGUGAACUUUGUCUUUCUUUAAUUGGGAAAAAUCCUGCUCUUCGAGUUUUCUUCUUUUCUGAACUGGUUUUGUUUACAAGCUACCAAACUAUUUUUCUGUUUGAACUUUAUGGGCUGUUUAUGUUUUGUAAAGUGCAGGGUUGGAAAACUUGGAGUCGGGACAUGAAACCUAUCGCAUAA